UACGUAGGGUGCAAGCGUUAAUCGGAAUUACUGGGCGUAAAGCGUGCGCAGGCGGUUUUGUAAGUCUGUCGUGAAAUCCCCGGGCUCAACCUGGGAAUGGCGAUGGAGACUGCAAGGCUAGAAUCUGGCAGAGGGGGGUAGAAUUCCACGUGUAGCAGUGAAAUGCGUAGAUAUGUGGAGGAACACCGAUGGCGAAGGCAGCCCCCUGGGCUAAGAUUGACGCUCAU
rnacentral:rRNA from 1 species